UUUUUUUUUUUUUUUUUUUCGAAAGGAGAGAAAAGAUACUUUGCUUCACCUAUAUUAAAGGAUUGUAGCAUGUGGAGUGGAAAGCAACCUUGCCUGAACCUGUAUGCUAUAUAGUUGGGAUAUGAGAUGGAACAUACGUUCUAUUAUGGUGUGAGAAUACUGCCUCGUUGGCAGUAUGCUUCAUUCUGUAGCUUUCAUGGGUAGAGUUUAUGUGGGGCCACAAUAAGCAGUUGGUAGCUUUUUUUAUUUUUUUAUUUGAAAGGCAUUCUAGCCUAAACGGUUAUGAGCCAUUUGUGUAACUACUGGAUGAAAAGAAAGUUCAUCAAAUUAUUGGUUGAGUUUCUGGUUUUUUCCCCUGUUUUGCUGCAACAUCCCUGCUUUUAAGGUGAAAGUUGCAAUUGAUUCCCCUCAGUGAAAAAAUUCACACCUUAUAUAAGAGCAACUUCCUCAAAAAAGGAUAAACAAGAGAAAAUGUGGGAAUCAUGAAGGUAGUUUCCCUGAUGUCCCCCUAUAACGUGUUCAACUCCUUAUCUUUUGAUCACCAACAAAUUUGAAACCUAAAAUUAACAUUUUCUAUUAAAAUGCAUAUUUUGCACAGAGAGACUACUAGAAUAUGUAGAGAAAUUUGAGAGGUUUUUGGGGCUUCCAUAGGUUAUCUUUCUGAAAGCUGACUACAAAGAAUUUUGUUUAAAUAAUAAUGCAUGCUACUAGCUCAGGGGACCCAUUUUGGAAAUUUUUCUUACUUCUAUUACAACUUAAUUCUCUUGUACGUGCAGAUUCUUCCCAUAAUAUUUGAAGUUUCUCCAUCACUUGUGACAAAAGUGUCACUACAUCUUGGCCUUAUAUUUCAACGAAAUAUGCACGGUUUUUGUUUUUAUAUUUCUGAAUUGAUUUUGAUCUUUAAAGAAUGUUUUUUGAAAGCUGUUUUAUUGUCCAAACUGAAAUAUUCCUUUCUCUGUUGUUAUUAGUAUACCAUAGCAAUG
rnacentral:misc_RNA from 1 species